GUGGAGUUUGGCUUGUGUAUGUAAAUGUGUGAGAGAAAUCAAAAUUUCAUUUACAAAUAUAAUGAUCCACUACCAUAGCCAGGUGAAAUUUCUAGAAAGGAGUACACAACGGCCUUUGAACUUUCUGUUUAGGUUCGAAUAUUGGGGAUUAACCUGAUAAUGGCGGCGCUUUGACCACACUCGAUCACAGAUCGCUUGAAAUGGCGACGGGAACACCACCAGUACAUCGAACAAGAAGCAUAUGGGAUUCACUAUCCCCAGAAGAAUUCGAGCAGCUGCAAGCAUACACAAAAUGUAAGGCAUUUUCAUUUUGUUUCGUGUCGA